AGCAGUAGCCCGGUAAUACGGAGGAUCCAAGCGUUAUCCGGAAUCAUUGGGUUUAAAGGGUCCGUAGGCGGUCUUGUAAGUCAGUGGUGAAAGCCCAUCGCUCAACGGUGGAACGGCCAUUGAUACUGCAGGACUUUAAUUAUUGGGAAGUAACUAGAAUAUGUAGUGUAGCGGUGAAAUGCUUAGAGAUUACAUGGAAUACCAAUUGCGAAGGCAGGUUACUACCAAUUGAUUGACGCUGAUGGACGAAAGCGUGGGUAGCAAUCAGGAUUAGAUACCCCGGUAGUCCCUGUCUCUUAUACA
rnacentral:rRNA from 1 species